ensembl:lncRNA
AUGUCUACCUUAUAUUUUAAAAAUUGUGUGGCCUGCGGCGCAAAACUGCCCGACUCCGAUGGACACAAUAAGUGUCUUAUAUGCCUGGGGGAGGGCCAUGUGCCUCAGACGUGCCAAAUUUGCCAAAAUUUUACCCCCCAAGCACGCCGCAACAGGGAAGCCCGCCUUAAGGCCGCUCUAUAUGAACAGGCUCUGGCGCCAGAAGCGGCGCGCGCUUCCAAACGGCCAUGCCCUGAAACACUCUCCCGCCCUUCCUCUACAGAAGAGCAAGAUCCCCCUCCCCCCGCUGAAGAGGGAUUGGCAGGCCCACUCGAGCCGCCGACCGAGGCGCCGAGGAAAAAAGCCAAAGCCGCCAAACCACAGAAGGGGCUCAAACCCAAGGAUGGCUUCAAAAAAUAUAAAAAAGGGAGGCAACUCAUUGGCGAGAAGCCCCUGAGUCCCCCACCACAAGCCUCACCUGAACGCGAUUCUUCUCGGGACCGAGAUUCCCCGAUUCCGCCUUCCAUAGAGGAAGCUCCGCCCCAUCUAUCCCCUGUGGAGCCCUCCCAGACCCCGGGGGCAGCGGCGACGAGCGUGAGCGUGCACACCAACCCUCAGAACGCCAGCUCUUCCCCGCCGCAAACUUUGUGCUAUCCCCCGCCCCGCCCAACAGCAGAGGCAGGGAGCAGCGCCAUGGAGCGCCGAGGCCGGAGUGCCGAGCGACGGCAGCAGACCGCACACGGAAGGCGUCGGUACCGUGAGCGUUCCCCCUCUUCUGAAUCCUGGGGCUCGCGUUCGAGGAGCCCUUCCAGGGCCUCCUUUUACCCACGAUCUCUGUCUCCUGGCCAUAGCUCGCUCUAUCGUUACCCCAAUUUCUUUUAUCCCCCCCCCCCUCCAUUCCCCGCUUACCCUCCUUACCAUUAUUUUGACUUCCAUCGAAACCGAGGGGAAUUGCCUCUUCCAGUACAAGGGCAAACUCCUGAUGCCCCUCCCAUUUCAGCCACUCAAGCCAAAGUUGUUCAACAGCCCCCAGCAGCGAUCCCAGAGACUGCAAUUUCCUCUCAGGUAGCCAAACCCCAGCCAGCAUUCCCGGACGGUGAGCAAGCUCAGAGCCAACCGGCUCCAUCUCCGGAGGGAAUAGAUGCGGGAGAUAUACAUCCAUCUGUGGAAGAUGAUGGACCCUCGUCUACACCUGUAACAGAAACGGAGCAAGAUCCUCUCCGUACUGAGGAAUUUCGUAACUUUGCUGCCCUUCUCAUAAGACUCUCAAGAGCUCUUAACUUAGAAACACCGAAACCCACCAAUGUUGUGAAGGACCCGUGUUUCUCUUCUUCGGAGCAACAAUCACCAACGCCUACAGCUCUACCAACCCUGCCCUAUUUGCUCCAGAUUAUCAAAACAGUUGGCGUUGCACCAUCCUUGGUUCCAGCUACCCCAAAAAGAGCUGAGAAUCUUUACAAGUUGGACCUGUCGGCAACCUCCUGGCUUGCCAAGAUGCCCAACGCUAAUUCUGUUGUGAAGGAUGCGCAACCUAAACCGGCCCAGAAAGCCCAGCUUACCCCUUCGGACAGGGAAGGCAAAAAAUUGGACACUAUGGCAAGGAAAUUUUAUUCUUCCGCUUGCCUUUUCGCCAGAAUGGCUCACUUUGGAGUAUAUAUGAGCGUGUACCAGACCUAUCUUUGGAACAAAAUUGGUCCCUUCCUUGAAUCUCUAUCUCCCAAUGAGCAAAUCUUAGCCAAGGUGUUUAAACAAGAAGCCACGCUCCUCGCGAGUCUUCAGAAGGAGCUAGCAAAAAACACCGAUGCAUCUGGCAAACUUCUAGCAGGAGCGGUCGCCCUACGUAGACACGCUUGGUUGAGGGCUGCUACACUGUCCCCAUCCGCUCGUUCCCUCAUCGAGGAUCUUCCCAUGGACGAGGCCGGGUUAUUUAACCCUGAAACUGACUCACAAUUGGAACAUUCCCACAAAAUGAAGCAGACCAUUAAUAAAUAUGGUCAACAUCCUCACCAACCUUAUUCUUACCAUCAGCGUCAGCGUUGGGGAUAUCAAUCCCAAUACUACCGAGGACGUUACAGCCCCUCAUUCUCUCGGGGAAGCCAGCGCCAGCAGCCCACCUUCACGGGAAACCGUAAGCCGUCUUUCCCUUCCAGAGGUCAAUACAAGGGGCCCAAGCCAGCGGACAAUAGGAGACGGCGCUUUUAG